AGUUCAGAAACGAUUGUUCACUUCCUUUUCUUUUCUCGGAGAACAAAUCCUAAAAUUUAGUCUCAUCUCAAUGAAAAUUCAACCCCUGAACAUGAAUCUUACAAUCAAACAAACACUUUAAUGAAAUCGAUUCAACUCGAAAACCUUAGAUUGUCAUCGUCGUUACAUUUUCAUGAAGAUUAAUCUGAAAUGGAGGGGAAUAGAUAAUCAGAUUCAGUUUCAGUAAAUUAAUCAGAAGACUUCGUCAUUGAAAGCCAUUUGAAAGAUAAGUUGGAUCUACUUUGAUUGUUUUCGAUAGGAAUUGUUAAUUUUAUUGAUUUCGAAAAAAUUUCAGGAAAAAAGUUACGGUUUCAAAAUCCUAAUUACUCCCAUUGUAGUUGGAAUUUCUUAUUUGAUUCGUGAUGAGAGUUUAGAACUAUAAUCGUCUUAUUUUGAUAUUUUUGUCCAUUAACUCUAGUAUUUGUAUUUGAGUAUUUUUGUAUUUAGGUUUAGUAAUUUGUUUUCUGAAAUUGCAGCAAUUUGAGAAAUUUACGCAAAACAAGAGGAUUGAACAAGAUUAUUGUUGUAAGCUUCACGAAGAGGAUAACUCAAAUUAUGCUCAAAGAGGUUUGAAAUCUAUAUACAGUUUUAUGUUUACAGAGGACAUCAUUUUUUGUCAACUUCAUUGAAGCUUGCCAAACAUUUGGUUUUUGCUUCAAGUAGGUACUGUGUAAGGUUCUUAUGAGACACAAAAUAGCAGGCUAAACAGUCGUUGCAAUUAGACUACAAAAGCUUGAUAUUUAUAUGAUUAUAAAAAAAUAAAAAAUCCUAAGCUAGACAUUAUUAGUACGAGCAAGUUAAGUAGGGAACCGUCAUCAUUCUAGUAUGCAAAGGUUGUGCGUAGUUUGCUUGGUUUGAUGUUAAGUGAUCAAAAUGACUAACCACCUUCAUUUUGGUGUGAAAACAUUUUAGUAGGAAACGUGACGAAACUGUUAUUUGUACAUACCACAAAUGUAUUUAGACCGGGAUAAUAAUUUUUUAUGCUUUUAAUUUUUGAUUUAGAGUGGAUUUGUUUGUGCCCAAGAUGACUUAGGAGUUGUUGGUUGGAGGUAGUUAUACCGAGAAUUAAUAUGUACAAAGCUUGACGCUUAAGUCCUGAUUAUCACAAGGAUGGCAGUCGAAGUCGAUAUGAGGAAGAGCGUCGGAGGAGAAGAAGCAAGUUGGCCGGAAGGUAGUACAAUUCACAUAGUGUGUACCUGCUCGUCCUCUGAUGCGGUAGAUAUCUUAAUAAUCCAUUCAAGAAGGAUUAAUUUCAUGUAAGGCAUUAAUUUGAAGAAGAUAGUAGAGAAGAGUAGUGCCUCUGAUGCAAAACUUAAGGUGUGAUCCCUUCAUUUUCUGGGGUUCUCUGUUUCUGCAGCAUUAUGAGAAGUAUAGUCCCGCUGAUGCAUCACUCUCAACUCCAUGUCGUGAUUAUAUGAAAAUGAGGUACUAUUAAAUUACUAAUUAUCGUAUUUAAUAAUAUCUCUUGUCACCAUGACCAUGUAGAUUAAGUGGCCCGUAGCCAACGUUUUGAGUGUACAUGGGAUUUUGUGGGGUUCACUUCACAGUCUAACGAUUAUGCUUAAUCCCCAAAGUACGUAAGAAUCAACCGGUAUAUUUUUUUGUACACCAAUUUAUAUGGGUGCACAUAAAAGUGCACUUUUGUUUUUUGUUCUUGUUAAUGGAGGAAGAAAAGGCAAGACAGGAGGCUGUUGCAAGGGAUGUAGAAGAAAAAGGAGGUGGACAGGCGUCAAGUUGACAUGAUACAACUAUGACUGAAAAUACUGGCAUUAUGUGUUAAUACAUGCAAUUUGAUGUUGCUCCGUUGGGAUUCAAUUGCCUGUAUACGAUACAUUCAAGGCUAUUGAGAUGAGGGAUCCCACUCAACGAAAAAGUGGCUUUACUGGGCAGGUAGAUUAUGCAUCCUUAUAUCGAUAUAAAUGGACCAUCCCAAGGGUUCGUUUAUACGGAAUGAAGGUAAUGAUGGCUCUAUUCUGUCAUUCUUUUCCGCCAUGGGAUGGAAGCUUGAGAAAACUGCUGAUUAUUUUGGAUUUCACAAGAGGUGUACAUAUUAGUGCAAAGUCUAAUUUUCAUGAAAAAGUAGGUCUCGUCGUGGAUAUGGACGACCAGUUUCAUGCAUAUUUUGUAGGUGUGGACAAAGUGGUGCACAAGUGAAAAACUGACGGCAUGAACUUUUAAAAGUUUCCCGCAGGUGCACUUUUUGGUACACAUCAAAUAAUAAAGUGAAAAUUAAAUAUAUUAAAAAGUGAAAAUUAUAUAGUCAUAUGGGUACUCUUUUUGUAGCUAUCAAAAAGAGCUUUACGAAUAUAUAAAGUUUGUGAAUUUUCGAUGAGCAGUUUGAAAGAUAAAU